AUUGAACGCUGGCGGCAGGCCUAACACAUGCAAGUCGAGCGAGCGGCGGACGGGUGAGUAAUGUAUGGGGACUGCCCGAUAGAGGGGGAUAACUACUGGAAACGGUUGCUAAUACCGCAUACUAUCGGAUAACCCAUAUGUGAUUCGCUAGUCGGUGGGGUAAAGGCUCACCUAGGCGACGAUCUCUAGCUGGUCUGCGAGGAUGAUCAGCCCCACUGGGACGUAGACACGGGCCAGACUCCUACGGAGGCAGCAGUGGGGAAUAUUUCACAAUGGGCGCAAGCCUGAUGCAGCCAUGCCGCGUGUAUGAAGAAGGCCUUAGGGUUUUAAAGUACUUUCAGCGGGGAGGCGUUACCCGCAGGAGAAGCACCGGCUAACUCCGUGCCAGCAGCCGCGGUAAUUG
rnacentral:rRNA from 1 species